CACCAGACGUGACGGCGACCGCACCGCACCAGAGACGCACACGUCGACGUCGACAUGCUGGCCUGCUCGCGUUCGCUGCGCCGGAGGCAGAGGUCGUGCGCCUUGAGGAAUGUGAACGUCACUGUGGUCGCCCGCCGCCCCCACAGCACUGCUAGGACGCUGCCUGUCCUCAAAGAGUUACGCAUCCGCCUGCCAGUGCUGAAAGUAAAGUGCCAGAAGGAUGCUCAAAAGCCCACACGGCAAGCAGCGAAAAAGG